AACAAGUUAACAAUCUUUAGUAGGAUCGUCUCGAUUGCGAUAUAUUCGGUUGCAAGUACGUUGGACAAACCUUCAGAAUUUAUAAAUAUAUUUUGUGUACUCAUUCAGAGAUGUCAACAGAAGUUUGCAUGCGGCAGAUGGCUUGGCAACUGACUUGGAACCAAAAACAUAUGAACCCUACUUAAACGAAUGGG
rnacentral:sRNA from 1 species